GUUGAACGCUGGCGGCAUGCUUUACACAUGCAAGUCGAACGGUAGACCCUUUCGGGGGUUGAGAGUGGCGAACGGGUGAGUAAUGCAUCGGAACGUGCCUAGUCGUGGGGGAUAACGUAGCGAAAGUUACGCUAAUACCGCAUACGCACUGAGGUGGAAAGCGGGGGACCGUAAGGCCUCGCGCGAUUGGAGCGGCCGAUGUCGGAUUAGCUAGUUGGUGAGGUAAAGGCUCACCAAGGCGACGAUCCGUAGCGGGUCUGAGAGGAUGAUCCGCCACACUGGGACUGAGACACGGCCCAGACUCCUACGGGAGGCAGCAGUGGGGAAUUUUGGACAAUGGGCGCAAGCCUGAUCCAGCCAUGCCGCGUGCGGGAAGAAGGCCUCGGUUGUAACG
rnacentral:rRNA from 1 species